UACGUAGGGCGCGAGCGUUGUCCGGAAUUAUUGGGCGUAAAGAGCUCGUAGGCGGCUUGUCACGUCGGGUGUGAAAGACCGGGGCUUAACUCCGGUUCUGCAUUCGAUACGGGCUAGCUAGAGUGUGGUAGGGGAGAUCGGAAUUCCUGGUGUAGCGGUGAAAUGCGCAGAUAUCAGGAGGAACACCGGUGGCGAAGGCGGAUCUCUGGGCCAUUACUGACGCUGAGGAGCGAAAGCGUGGGGAGCGAACAGG
rnacentral:rRNA from 1 species